ensembl:snRNA U6 U6 spliceosomal RNA
GUGCUCACUUCAGCAUCACACUUUCUAAAAUUGUAAUAAUACAAAGAAGAUUAGCAUGAACCGGGCACCAUGGUGCAAGCUUAUAAUACUAGCAACUCAGGAAGCUAAG